UACGUAGGGUGCGAGCGUUAAUCGGAAUUACUGGGCGUACAGCGUGCGCAGGCGGUUUUGUAAGCCAGAUGUGAAAUCCCCGGGCUUAACCUGGGAAUGGCAUUUGGGACUGCAAGGCUUGAGUGCGGCAGAGGAGACUGGAAUUCCUGGUGUAGCAGUGAAAUGCGUAGAUAUCAGGAGGAACACCGAUGGCGAAGGCAGGUCUCUGGGCUGACACUGACGCUCAUGCACGAAAGCGUGGGGAGCAAACAGG
rnacentral:rRNA from 1 species